UUUCAAAGAUGCUUUCACUCAGUUCGAGUUAUAGUUAGUUACAAGUAGAUUGUUAACCCAUUGCAUGGUUAAUAAAUAGUUGUACAUUGAAUAAAAUUGUUGCAAUGACUCUAAUUAUAUUAAUUUGUGAAAUUUUCUCUAUGGUAAUUUGCACCAAAGUUAUCAAUUCCGAAACGACCAAUCUACUAUUUUGGCUAUUGAUAUAAUAUGUAUCGGUAUCGGUGUAUAUUAGUGUAUCAUUUUAGAUUUAGUGCUACAUAAACUAUAAACAUUUCACAUGUAUUUUUUUGAAGUUAAUAAAUUAUAAACAUGACAUUAGUCACAUAUCACAAAAUUGAAGAUAAUUCAAAUAAAAAAUUAUAAAACUAAUGUGAAAAGAUUUUUAUAAAAUUCCUUUAGCUUCAAGAUUUACUAAAAAAAUCCUUUUAAAACUCUAAUAUUUGUGAAACAAAUAAUGCGAUUUGUGUACUAAAUGAAUUAUGAAAGCUUGUUAGUAUAGGCCGAUACAAAUUGAUAUUUUGAGUAAAAUAGAAUAUAGAGUUGUAUGUUCUUUUUUUUUUUUUGAGAAUAUGGUAAGCUAGUCUGAUGUGUACUUUUACGGUCUAAAAAGUAAUCUAAAAAUUACCGUAUAAUCACAACUCGUAUAGAGGAGUAGUUAUGUUGGGUUUAUCGUUCUUAUGGAUCAAUAGACUAAGCUAAACUAUUUUCUAAACUAUUUUAAUUUAAUUCAAAGAAAGAACGAGACUUUGUUUGAAAUUUUUUUUUUUGUUAUACUAAUUAAACUAAAAACAGAAUUUGAAUGAAUAUUAUAAAAAGAUGAGAAAGAGAUCCUAGAAUUUUCGAAUCCACCCUAGACAAGUAAAUUUAGUUUUAUAAUAAUUUAGGUUUUCAUUAGUUGAUUUACUAAAUAUCUGUGUGGCUACAAGCGCACAACGGUAUCACCAAGAAGAUAGUGAAAUUACUCCUGGUAUAGAUUAUGUAAAAAGCACGAAUCGUCAUAGAGCACGAUCCGUCUAUUUACUAUAAUCUAACACAAUUAUGUAAAAUCACAAGUUGAUAACUGUAGGAGUGAGUUUAUAAUGCGGAAAUCGAAAGCAGACACCAGCGAGAUCGUCCUUCCCUUUGGCUUCUAUCAGGGUGCACCAAGCUUGAUGACUUCCUUUAAUAACUGCACACUGACAACAGUAAGUCCGGCCGCCGGAGUUGUUUUCGGGAAACGACUCUCUGACGGUUAAGUUAGAUGACCUGAAAGCUCAACUCAGUAACUAUGAGUUCCCAGAGAACCAGAGAAAAGAAGAGCUCUUCAGCGUUCUAGAAGAAGAAGAAGGAGAAAGAAGAAAAAAGCCCCUCACCUCUACAGUGGCUUCUGCUUAUAUAGUUUACCUUGGCGCGUGUUCUGACGUGCCAACGGGUGACUUGGCUACCGGGCAGUUCACCUAAUCUUCACUUCUGUAGAGGGGUUGGUCGUCCUCCCUGCUACCAUGAGUUUCCACGCCCGGAUUUGGGCUGAGAACCGUGACCGUGUCGUGCAAGCAUCACUAUGUUGCGUGUCAUCCGUCGGGGUUCCCGCCAAUCUCUGGGUGUAAACCGCGCUGUGGCGUGACUGUUGUCGCGGCUUUCAAAUAGUCGAGAGUUAUUCCCGAGCUCGGGUAGGGUCCAUCCCUAUACUUAUACCGAGCUCGGACUCACUGUGUAAUAUUGUUUCUACAAUACAAGUCAGCAUGGGGAAAAUAAUCCUUGUAUAGGGGUAAACGCUCUCUGGCUUCGUCUCCCUAUGCCUUCUUGUGGCUGGGUACUCUAUUCGCAUGUUUCGUGUCCCUACAGUAGCCCCUAGUUCGCGUGAGCUCGGCCGUGGCUCGCCGAGGUUAUGCGAGCUGGAUGCUCAGGCUUCGUACUCCCAACUUCGUUUUUGCUCGCCAUGCCGAGCAUUCCAGUUGUACGGGGAGUAGCUCGGCUUCUCCGCCUUGGGUUUGUUCCCGUAGGUGCUGUCGUAGGGAUGCCACCUGUCAGUGAUCCAUUGGAUUCGUCACGAUGGUUCGCUCGCGAAACGAUGCACCCUAGUGCCGCGUUUGGCUCAAUUCUCUCCUCUUCGACUUUCUUUUUAGGGCACCCCAUUUCUCCACUCUCUUUGGCAUUGUAGCAGUUUCUGGAGAGAAAAAGAUUGUAGCUGUGCGCCCUUCGCUUCUUUGGCCAUUUCUUUUUUCGGCGACCGUGGUUCCAUUAUUACACACUGGAGGAGCAUCCCUAUCCGAUACGGUAAGUCGCUAUUUCUCCAUGCUUCCUUCGUACAUUCGCUUUGAGCGCCAUGAGAAUAGUCAAAUCUCUAGCGCGGUCCGAUGUCUUACAAAUUAUUGGAUAGGGUCUGGGUCAAAUCUGGCCGACGUGAUUAGGGUUACCUCCAUAAACUAGAUUAAACCUCGUUCCUCAGGACGCUUUAGGCCCGUUCUGACCAUCUGCCUCCACUUUCAGGACAUGGCAUUGAAUCGGGCUCAAAUGCUUGUUCGCGAUAGUGAGGCCUUAGCUCAAUUCUGUGUCGACCAUACGAUUCCUGAUGUUGUAGUGAUAGAGCGCCCGAGUCCGAAUGACGACGCGGAUUGGGUGGAAGGAGAGGGUAAUCGGAUGCCCAUCAGGACUUGGUUCAUUUACCAAGCCGGGCUUCAAUUUUCCCUUAGUAAGCUUUUGAGAACCGUUCUCUCUAUCUGCGGGCUCACUUUCAUGCAAAUCUCUAUGAACUUUGUCCGAACCGUGCUGGCGGUCGAGGCCUUGAUGCAGAGAGAAGGAUUAGAGUUUAUUUCUGAGGAUCUGUUUCACGUGUAUUGUGUGGUCAAGCCUAGGAAAAAUCCCGAGACCCAGAUGCUUGAAGGUAAUCACUACCUUCGCCUUAGGAAGCCCAAUCAGCCUCAGACGAGGUUAGUUACGGAUUCCCUAGACAAAGAUUAGUAUUUCAACGACUUUAUUUGGGUCUCGGGUCAAUGGGAAUUCCCUGCUGACGAACCUGACCUUUUCUCCGUUCCUAGGCAUAGGGUUACGUCCCUAUAGGUGAGAAUCAGCAUGCUUCCGCUUGCGACACAUUUUAUCGACUCGAUUAUGCUAUAUAAGAACUAACUGAAUAUUUAAUCUGGUUCGCUUUUGCAGGAUUCAACAGAUGCUUUUGGAGGAGGAGUGAUCGGUGUUCGGCUGCAAUUAGCGCUGUGAAUAAUUGUGGGCGCUCCCGCAGAGUCUCCGAUCUACUCAGUUACGUCCCCUUAUACUGGUAUACCAUCCCUCUUCAAGCCGCUCGUUAGUGGCGUCCCGUUCUUCCACCUCUCUAGAUCCGCAGACCAGGUUCAAGGCUAAAUAGCUCACUAUCUGACGAGGUCAGUGAUUUAUUUGAAGGGACCUUGGCCGAGCUCCGAAGGCUGUUAGAAGAGGCCAAAGGCGAAAGUUCUGGCUCCAGCGAGUCGAGCUCUUCCAAUUGGGACAUCGAUUUGGGCGACGAGGCCCUGAACGAAGAGGCCGAGGUUGAAGACGGCAAAGAGGUUGACCAAGUUCCUGUUGCGGUUCCUUUGGUUCCAGCUCCCUUAGUCCUGGUCCCAGAACCUAUAAAUCUCCCGAGCUCCGAUUCUGACAUCGCCAUCGUCAAACCGAGGGAGAUUGUUGAGCAUUCCUACUCUCACAGCGGCAGUCCAUCUUCUGGGUCUCAAGUGAACGUGGAGAUCAUGGCCCCUAAGGUGAGGAUUCUGGGGAAGGGGCAAGCCCCGAUAAUUGAGCCCCCCACACUCCUUGAGGCCCCCGUUUUGUCCACACCAGCUCCGGUUGAAGAUCAGUCCAUCGCGCCGUUCUUGAUGGGUGACAAACGGAAAGGGAAACAGCCUGCAGAGGGAACCUCUCGACCCAAAAGGGGAAAAGGUGCUGGAUCGGCCGUUGGCACCCCCAAGCUAUGGGCCCCCCAAUUUGCCGCUGUGGAGCUCGGCAAACAGGUUACCUUUGCGGAUACUUCUAAGGACCAUGAGACCUACGUUGCGCUGGGCAAUGCGGUGAUGCUCCCCCAAGACGUCGCGGAUCAUGUUGCUGAAACCUCGACAGAAUUCGGGGGCAAGCUCGUUAUACUGGGGGCCCAGGUUAGGACUUCCAUGUUACCAAAUUUUUAUUUUGAUUAGCGAAUCCGACCCACGCUGUUCUUCUUUAAUCCAUCUCUUUUUUCUUUCUUAGUUAUUUCAGCGAGCUGUAUCUUCCUCACUUUGGCUAAAGUAGGGUGCGGUGAAUCUGAAGAAAGCGAACCAGAAGGCGAACAACCUCGAGAAGGAGCUGAAGGCGUUCUCUUGUGGUGAAGUGUACAAGAAGCUGUUCGACCGCGCUUUCGAGUGGGCUGGAGACAUGUACGAAAGGCAGCUAGCCGAGCUCCGCCCCGGCGUUUUUCAGGAAGGAUGGCUCGCCUGUUUGAAAGAGCUGCAGAUCCCACUUGAUUAUCCCGCGUGGUCGUCUCCUGCCCCUCCAGUUCAACUCCCUGCCUCUUCGGAACGAUAUUCACCAAUCAACCUUCCCGACUUCAACGAAGAGGAGUAUGCGACCCUACCUGCUAAUGAGGGAAAUAUCAACACUACGGUAGUGGAAGCUCAUACAGGGGUCGCGAAGACUGCUGAUAGAGACCGAGUUGGGGAGGCAGAAGGUGACCGAGAUGUAGAAGCCGAGGGUGAAAACCGCGUUUAGAAACAAUUCCUUUGAAUGGUUUCUUCUGCUUCUGUUGAGUCUUAAUCUUGUUGACUUUUGUAAUAUAUAUAUUUUUUUGAACAAGACUUUGAACAAUUAUUCACUAUGCAUUUCGGUCCGACUGUUUUUGCCAUUUCCUACGUGCUUUGAUCUCAGUUUGUGACUUCAUUUCUUGUUAAGGACGAUCUUCUUCGAGUCUUUGCACAAUGCUGACUCCAACUCAGCCAGAUUCAUAAGCACGCUUCGCAUUCCCGCGCGUGAAUUGCGUUGGACUCGCAACAUGUCAAAUAACGAUUCGUAACUAGGCUCCG
rnacentral:lncRNA from 1 species